AGAGUUUGAUCAUGCCUCUAAUUGAACGCUGGCGGAAUGCUUUACACAUGCAAGUCGAACGGCAGCAUAGGUGCUUGCACCUGAUGGCGAGUGGCGAACGGGUGAGUAAUACAUCGGAACGUGCCCAGUCGUGGGGGAUAACGUAGCGAAAGUUACGCUAAUACCGCAUACGAUCUAUGGAUGAAAGCGGGGGACCGUAAGGCCUCGCGCGAUUGGAGCGGCCGAUGUUAGAUUAGGUAGUUGGUGGGGUAAAGGCUCACCAAGCCGACGAUCUAUAGCUGGUCUGAGAGGAUGAUCAGCCACACUGGGACUGAGACACGGCCCAGACUCCUACGGGAGGCAGCAGUGGGGAAUUUUGGACAAUGGGCGCAAGCCUGAUCCAGCCAUUCCGCGUGCAGGACGAAGGCCUUCGGGUUGUAAACUGCUUUUGUACAGAACGAAAAGCUCUGAGUUAAUACCUCGGGGUCAUGACGGUACUGUAAGAAUAAGCACCGGCUAACUACGUGCCAGCAGCCGCGGUAAU
rnacentral:rRNA from 1 species